GGGGAAUCUUAGGACCUCUCGCUACAGGGGCGGCCGAUGGCAGAUUAGCUAGUUGGUGGGGUAAAGGCCUACCAAGGCGACGAUCUGUAGCUGGUCUGAGAGGACGACCAGCCACACUGGGACUGAGACACGGCCCAGACUCCUACGGGAGGCAGCAGUGGGGAAUUUUGGACAAUGGGGGCAACCCUGAUCCAGCAAUGCCGCGUGUGUGAAGAAGGCCUUCGGGUUGUAAAGCACUUUUGUCCGGAAAGAAAACGCUCUGGUUAAUACCCGGGGCGGAUGACGGUACCGGAAGAAUAAGCACCGGCUAACUACGUGCCAGCAGCCGCGGUAAUACGUAGGGUGCAAGCGUUAAUCGGAAUUACUGGGCGUAAAGCGUGCGCAGGCGGUCCGCUAAGACAGAUGUGAAAUCCCCGGGCUUAACCUGGGAACUGCAUUUGUGACUGGC
rnacentral:rRNA from 1 species